ensembl:misc_RNA Y_RNA Y RNA
GGCUUGUCCAGUGGUAGUAGGUCAUUAGGGCUUAUUAACAUUACGGUCACUAAAGUUGGUAUACAACCCCCCACUACUAAAUUUGACUGGCUUAC